rnacentral:rRNA from 1 species
UACGUAGGGUGCGAGCGUUAAUCGGAAUUACUGGGCGUAAAGUGUGCGCAGGCGGCCGCGCAAGUCAGGUGUGAAAUCCCCGGGCUUAACCUGGGAAUUGCGCUUGAAACUAGCGGGCUUGAGUGUGGCAGAGGGGGGUGGAAUUCCACGUGUAGCAGUGAAAUGCGUAGAGAUGUGGAGGAACACCGAUGGCGAAGGCAGCCCCCUGGGUCAACACUGACGCUCAUGCACGAAAGCGUGGGGAGCAAACAGG